rnacentral:rRNA from 1 species
UACGUAGGGUGCAAGCGUUGUCCGGAAUCAUUGGGCGUAAAGCGCGUGUAGGCGGCCCGGUAAGUCCGCUGUGAAAACUCGAGGCUCAACCUCGAGACGUCGGCGGAAACCAUCUGGCUAGAGUCCGGAAGAGGAGAGUGGAAUUCCUGGUGUAGCGGUGAAAUGCGCAGAUAUCAGGAAGAACACCCGUGGCGAAGGCGGCUCUCUGGGACGGUACUGACGCUGAGACGCGAAAGCGUGGGGAGCGAACAGG